rnacentral:rRNA from 1 species
AACGAACGCUGGCGGCAGGCCUAAUACAUGCAAGUCGAACGCCGUAGCAAUACGGAGUGGCAGACGGGUGAGUAACGCGUGGGAAUCUUCCUAAUGGUACGGAAUAGCCCGGGGAAACCCGGAGUAAUACCGUAUACUCCCGUGAGGGGAAAGAUUUAUCGCCAUUAGAUGAGCCCGCGUCGGAUUAGCUAGUUGGUGGGGUAAUGGCCUACCAAGGCAACGAUCCGUAGCUGGUCUGAGAGGAUGAUCAGCCACACUGGGACUGAGACACGGCCCAGACUCCUACGGGAGGCAGCAGUAGGGAAUAUUGGACAAUGGGCGAAAGCCUGAUCCAGCCAUGCCGCGUGAGUGAUGAAGGCCUUCGGGUUGUAAAGCUCUUUUGGCGGGGACGAUAAUGACGGUACCCGCAGAAUAAGCCCCGGCUAACUUCGUGCCAGCCGCCGCCGUAACAC